AAAGCAACUCAACUUCAGCUACAUCAACAGGUCGACAAUCAAUCCACAUUGACAUAUUCCCAGCAAACUAGACACAGGGCGGGUCACACCCACUCACCACGAGCCAGGGUGGCGUCACUGCUGCAGCACGCGGCGUCGCCAUAGAGACCGCCACAGCGACACUGCCGUGGUGACAUCAUAUCCGUGUCCUACGAUUCUAGAGGAGAGAAGACCGUCAUCACGUCCUUUUACGUCAAUAGCAGGUACUUUCUUCUAAUUAUCUCUUUUCAUUUAAUGGUAAUUAUAUCUAUUGAUGUGGCCAGAUUAUUAAACCACUGUACAAAUGCACAAGGCAUUAUAACACUAGACUCUGAGCAUAUUGCAACAGGAACGAAACCAAACUUAUACACACUUCCCCCUCUAUUUCACAUGGUCUACUACACCUCCCUGCUGAAUUUGGUGGCAAUGAUGGGAUAUUCCCUGGCCACCUGCGGUCUCAGGAGAAAGUAUUGCAUAUAUACAAUAUUGUGUCCUGUCACUCAGGCACUAGUCUGUGGCACUGAUGGAUGCAGAACUGUCACAUUGUCAACAAGUGCAUGUGAGAGAGGUGGCAUCAUACAUGGCAGGUGAAGUGUCUCAUGAGCCCUAUGUACAACCCCAGCUGCUCAUAAGAACAGUACAGUAAAGGGUCAUCGUGUGUGUGUGUGUGUGUGUGUGUGUGUGUGUGACACAGACCAAUGCGCAGGGACAUCAACAGGAUAACACUGUAAUGUAAAACACAUUUAACAACCCCUCUUCCCAUGGUGUGAUUUGCAAACAGGAUCUCUCUGUCCUCCAUUAGCUAUUCUUCAGGAGGACAGGAAACUCACUCUGUUUUCCCAGAUAAGCAUCAGAGUGCUGGAUGCAGCAUUCCCAAAUCCAGGAAACGGCGAGCACCAUCCCGUCCUGUCUCUUCCUGAGCAGAAGGGCCAGGCUAAUGUUUUCCCACGCCCGGACUCCCUGUCAACCACAUCUAGGGGAACAUUAGCCAUUGCAUUGUUUUCUCCCCCCCCACUUUCACUUUCUGUCUCUCUCUCGCUCCCUCUCUGUCCUCACUCACUUCCUCUGCCUCUGUCGCUCUAGUCUUCUCUUUCAGUUUCAUUCUGUUGUCCUCUUUGUCCAUCCACCUCUCCUCCUAUCUCCAUAUCGCUCUUUCAUUUGAAGAGCACUUCAGCAUCCCCCAAGCUCUUCACAGAGGAAGUAUGGUUGGAGAGAGAAGCGAGAGAUGAAGAAUAAAGAAAAAGAGUGAGUCAGGGAUGAGACAUGAAAUUAAACCAUUAAAAC
ensembl:lncRNA